AAAUUGAAGAGUUUGAUCAUGGCUCAGAUUGAACGCUGGCGGCAGGCCUAACACAUGCAAGUCGAACGGUAGCACAGAGAGCUUGCUCUCGGGUGACGAGUGGCGGACGGGUGAGUAAUGUCUGGGAAACUGCCUGAUGGAGGGGGAUAACUACUGGAAACGGUGGCUAAUACCGCAUAACGUCGCAAGACCAAAGAGGGGGACCUUCGGGCCUCUUGCCAUCAGAUGUGCCCAGAUGGGAUUAGCUAGUUGGUGAGGUAACGGCUCACCAAGGCGACGAUCCCUAGCUGGUCUGAGAGGAUGACCAGCCAC
rnacentral:rRNA from 1 species